GCGGCGAUAGCUCACUGGGUAAAGCGCCAGGUGAGAAGCGCGGGUUCGAAUCCCGCCUGUGGCA